UCAGUAACACGUAGUCAACCUAACCUAUGGACGUGGAUAACCUCGGGAAACUGAGAAUAAACCAUGAUAGAUCAUAAUGCCUGGAAUGGCUUAUGGUUCAAACAAUUUAUUGCCAUAGGAUGGGACUGCGGCCUAUCAGCUUGUUGGUGAGGUAAUGGCCCACCAAGGCUAUAACAGGUACGGGCUCUGAGAGGAGAAGCCCGGAGAUGGGUACUGAGACACGGACCCAGGCCCUAUGGGGCGCAGCAGGCGAGAAACCUUAGCAAUGUGCUGAAAGCACGACUAGGUUAAUCCGAGUGGUUCCUGCUAAAGGAACCUUUUGUCAGUCGUAAAACCACAGACGAAUAAGGGGUGGGCAAUGUCUGGUGCCA
rnacentral:rRNA from 1 species